CCCUGCGCCCGCUCCCCGUGAGGUGCCGGUGUUGGCCGCCAGCGGCUCUGGGGGCUCCUGCCCCCGCCCGCCCCCGCCCGCCGGGAAGCCGCCCAGCGCUUACCUUCAUUGGGUUUCCGCUCCCCGUCCCCCAGGGCAGGCGCAGCUUUCGACAACUGCAAAGACAACACAGAAUCAGUCACAACACGGAACCGUGACGCGGUCCCGGGGCGCUGGGGGAUCCCGGGGAGGGGCCGAGGGCCCCGGUCCCGCCGCCGGCGGAGGGGCGGAGGGAGCCCCGGCGGUAGAGUGCGCCCCCGAGGCGGAGCCGCUCCCCGCUGGCCGCCCCGGCGGGCACAGAGGGACCUUUUGUUCCCCCCGUCCCCCGGGGAGCCGAGGGGGGCACGGGUGGCAGGGCCGCGGGCUGGGGGUACGGGGCUGGCAAGGCGGUGCGGCGGGCCCGAGAGAGGCCCCCAAACGGAGACACGCGUCCCCGGGGAGCCGCUGUCAGUAACUGCGGGCAAACACCGGGAGCAAAUCUGAGCCCGGAGGAGAAAAGUAACAGGGUGACCUGCUGCUGCCGACACGACUGGUGGGCCUGGGCACCGCUUCCUCCCGUAAAGGUGAACCCAGCAGAGGGGGGGAGAAGGGCGGCCAGGCGUGAAAGGGCAUCUCUCCCCUCUCAGUGUCGCACAUGUCUGUCGGCCAGCAGUGGUGGCCACCGAGGUGUCGGCAUCUGGCCGAGUGUCAGGGCGAUUAACUGUGACAGCACCACUUUGCCGACAGACGCAGCCAAACUGCCCAGGUUUCCUUCCUCUCUGCUGGAAGGGAGGGUGACGCGCGCUCUCGCCUAACGGUCCCCGUCUCCAGCCCCCGCGUCGAUCCCAUUCCUGCGCUCCCCGCGGCUUCCCCUGAACCGGAAUCAGAAAGGCCUCAAGCUCCGCAUUCACUCCUGCUGCCUCUUGGGACAAGGGGCAUUUCCAAACCACUGACUCAGGCAGCUGUGGUGACAGGUGAAACAAGAACUCCACUCCUCCUACUAUUCGUGAGGGCUUUACCUCUGAUGUAACUUUCCAGCCAUCAAGUUUCCCCCUGCUGUUCUGUUCUGAACCAAAAUGAAAAAUGCCCAGCAUUCUUCACUUCUCCCGAGGUACGCUGCCACCUGUGUGAUGUCAUUCACCCCAGAACUUGCCGCCUUUCACCAGAGGCCCAAAAGGAGCGUGGUGAUACACACAAAGCUUUUAGGCUUAGAAAAAUGCCCUCUGAUCUCACAGCCAAAGACAGAGCUGAACUAAGAAGGCCAAGUCCACCCCAAGCUCAUAAUGUGAAUCAGCCACCUAUGGUCUUCUAGGUAGCUCCGUGCGCAGGGCAGCACCAGCAUCCAAGCUGCCCAAAGUGUCAGCUUUUAAAAGAAGGGGGCAACAGAGCAAGCUAGAAGCCCCUCUCCCAGACAUUCCUUUGUGUCUGUGCACAGUUCCCUUUACCUAAGGUUCCCCUGACCAAACUUGCUUCUCAUUUCAACCAAAGUCUUUCUGUACCUGGGCAUAACUCAGCAGCCCAGACCUGAACCUCCCCAUGCGUGGAUCUGUUUCUUCUCUGGGGAGGAGAGGGCUGUGUGCUGAACCUCAGUGCUGUGAAAAAACUUUAAAAAGCAGGUUCCUAGAAACAGUUUCAUUCCUGAAGUGUAAAGGUCACUGCAACAGCACAAACAAAAUGGAGGCAGCGGAGGUUGCAGCGGCCUUCCAAAGCCACUCAGCGCCUGACAAUCUAUGGGUAAAAGGAAAACCGCAUCAAGGGCAGAAAAGCCUCAAUCUGCUACAGCACAGGAAGAGGAUCACGAGCCGAGUCAGUUUAUCCAAGUCACAAUGCCCCCAAGACUUUUUGCAGAGGGAUUUUUGGUUCACACACAAAAUGACCAUGACAGACUGAGCAAAAUGAGCUCGGAGUCACCUUGAGGGACAUUUUCACCCAUUCUCUAUGCAAGGCUGCCCAGCGGGCUGCCAAGCCCACCACCUCCUCAGAUGCAAACACACAUGGUGUACAAGCAAUGAGAAGCAGAAGCAAGCCACACGCUUUUAUUGCUCACCUGUGCCUAGCCAGCAUCUUGCCCUGCCGCGAUGUAGUGGAGCAAGAGCCAGAACAGUCUUCCAGUGCUCACCUAGACCUGGGAUGUGAUCACACGUCAAGGAUGGGCAAUGAGAUUGGUGCAAAGUGUGCAGAGAACUUCUGAGCAUUCCCAGUAGAACUCUCAGCAGAAACUAGAAAGGUUUCCCAGAACCAUCAGUAACACACUCUCUGCUCGCUAUUCCAAGAAACUUUUCUGCCCUUUCAGCAGUGCCUUUCACCUGUGGCUAGCGCCCUCAAAGCACGUCCACUAGAACAGAAGGUGAAGGGAGUCUUGUGCCUCACUUUAAACCAGUCUGCUACAUAUCAGACAGGGCAAUGGGGAACCAAAAACAUUCCAUGGGACAAGCAGGCCCAGUGUGCCCUUCGGUGGGAGCCUGAAGGUCACAUUCUCCUCUGCUGGCUUUUAGCAUUACCCAACAGUUCUGUAACACAAUUUUUUUCCAACAGAUUUUCAACAUUUCACAGAAGUGUGGAAGUAACCCCUGGCCUGGCCUUGAGAGUGGGAUAAAUGACCCCAGGAAUGAGGCUGACAAAGAGGAAGCUUCUUUCUGUGCCCUUUGUAGGUCACAGCUAAUGUACAUUCCUGCUGUGGAGUAAAACCCUCCCUAAGAAAUAAACCCACUUCACACCAUCCGUGUGUCUGUACCUUCCCUGUCUUCCUUCUCCCCUAAGGGAGCAAGCUUUUCUCUGAAGGGAGAGAAAAGGUUAAUCAAGUCAUUCCUCUCUAACCAUCCCCUCACCACCACCACCAGCACUCUUUCUCUCCCUUCCCCUCCCCCUAAUCUGUGCAGCCUCAUUAAAAGAGCUUUGUAACUGUUUAGGACUGGAACAAACAAUCCAUCCACUUUGAGAGGGACUCUGGGACAGGAGUUAAGGCACUUUUCGUCUUAGGCACUAGAAAUUCUCAGAGGUUUCUACUUAGAGGAGGGGGGGACGGGACUCACUACACUCCUUCUCCAUUGUACAUGCAGACAGAGGUCAGUAAUCCCAGAAACUGCCAGCACAGCUGAGGCACCUCUGGCAGAACAGAACAGACAGGAAAAUGGGUUUGAGGUUGCUCAGGAAUCAGUGAACCACUCACGUGGCAGCACGGGCUUCCCUCUCCCCUGCUCCCACAGGAGCGCUCCUGUUCCCAGCCUGUCCUCAGACCAUGGGCCUGGAACGGCUCUGGGGAAGGUGACCCGCUGCGUCUCGGCUGCCUACAGGCUGGGGAAGCAGGUUCUGGUGGCUCCCCAUUGUGGCCUGGUGCAGAGGCACACCAAAGGCAGGGAGCCUGGUGGGUGUGCGAUCAUUAGCAGUCUAGUCACAGGCUUGCUCUCCCUCCCUCAGUGUCUAAUCGCUGCCUGUUGCCUGUGGCAAUACACUUGGUAUAUCCAGGUCUCUCCACUGUUCACUGCAGGAGAGUAAGACUCCCAGACCCUCGUCAGGGGUUACUUGUCACCAGGCUGCCAGCAAAACCAGCAGAGAAAGGAAGAUGGGGAAUGACCAACUGUCUCCCAUUCUUUAGGAAAUGGGUGACUGGAAGGGGACAACAAUGUAACCUCUCUGAUCCCAUGGGGCAUGAGGACUGUUCAGUACAGCUCAGCAGAAUCAAUCAGCUGGGAGAGCAGCACUGCAAAAGCACCUUUCCUUCCCUCUCCUGCACAGAAAGGCUAUCACCACCAGUGGAGGCAGACACCUGUGGCAUCAGCACCACCCAGACUCAACUAUGAAAUAAUUUCCCACCAUCCCAGUCUUGCUGCAGGAGUGACCGUAACAACUCCCUCAGUAAGGAGUCAUCCCCCUGCCACCUUCACCAGAGGAACACCUUGAUUCCAGCAUCCCUCUUCCUUCACUUCCAGGAAAGCUGCCCAGCACAUGCUGGACCCUGCUUUCCCAACUCAGACUCUGCCAGAGCUUUUAUUUAAUGCUCUCUAACGCGCCUGGCUAGCUAGAUAGGUUUUAUUCAGUAUGACAGCCAGAUUAACAGUACAGAUAAAUAUUAUCAUCAAAGCACAAAACCCUAGUCCCGGCGUGAAGAGUCAUGCCUUCUGCCAUGCCCAGAGUCAUCGUCAAGCUGCCUACGUGAGAUCUGCUGGUAUUUCUAACGUUCCCAUCACCGUGGUGCCCGGACGACCAACGGACAAAUAAGGACAGAACCGAAGGGCAGACCUCACCGUCAAUCUGCCUGAGCACUUACAUAGCCCACAUCACCCAGGCAUUUUGAACUCCACUCGGCGGUACGAACCCGAGCUGGGACCCAAGGCAAAUACCGCCGAAACACCCUUUUGCAAUGUCAGGAGACCCGAGGACGGGAGGCGAGGCUGAUGCAAGAAGCCAGCGCGCUGCCUCCGUGCCCCGCGCCCCGCCAGCCGCAGCGCCCCGGCCCCAGUGGGACCCCCCGGCCGCGCCGC